rnacentral:rRNA from 1 species
AGUGAACGCUGGCGGUAGGCCUAACACAUGCCAGUCGAACGGCAGCACAGUAAGAGCUUGCUCUUACGGGUGGCGAGUGGCGGACGGGUGAGGAAUACAUCGGAAUCUACUUUUUCGUGGGGGAUAACGUAGGGAAACUUACGCUAAUACCGCAUACGACCUACGGGUGAAAGCAGGGGAUCUUCGGACCUUGCGCGAUUGAAUGAGCCGAUGUCGGAUUAGCUAGUUGGCGGGGUAAAGGCCCACCAAGGCGACGAUCCGUAGCUGGUCUGAGAGGAUGAUCAGCCACACUGGAACUGAGACACGGUACAGACUCCUACGGGAGGAAGCAGUGGGGAAUAUUGGACAAUGGGCGCAAGCCUGAUCCAGCCAUACCGCGUGGGUGAAGAAGGCCUUCGGGUUGUAAAGCCCUUUUGUUGGGAAAGAAAAGCAGCAGGUUAAUACCCCGCUGUUCUGACGGUACCCAAAGAAUAAGCACCGGCUAACUUCGUG